UUUGGCAGAGAUAGUGCAAUAGAUCCACCUGAUACCAUACCGAACUCAGAAGUGAAAUGUUGUAACGCUGAUGGUUAAGUGAUUUUUCAACU
rnacentral:rRNA from 1 species